GGACCACGCUCAUGGCAUAUGGAAGUUCCCAGGCUAGGGGUUGAAUCCAAGCUGCAGCCAGCCACAGCCACUACCUCUACCAGAGCAACACCAGAUUGGAGCCUCAUCUGCAACCUACACUGGAGCUUGCAGCAGUGCUGGGUCUUUAACCCACUGAGCAAGACCAAGGAUCAAACGUGCAUCCUUGGGGAUACUAGUUGGGUUCAAAACCUGCUGAGACUCAAUAGGAACCCCAUCUACUCUGCAUCUUAAGGACAGAAUACUUACUCCAACUUGCGCUUUGCAUUCUUAGAAUCACUCCUGAUCCUGCUCGAGGCAAAUGGAUGCCCCUUUCAGAAUAAGACAGAAAGUUUCAUGCCAGAGAAAACAAAAGGAAAAUGUGCACCCAGUCUGUUUUUCUGAAGUACAGUAAUUUUUAUGUCUUUUACUUUCCUUCUUCUUCUCCUUUCUCUCUCACCUUUUCUUUUUCUAAUUAAAAUUAGCUGAAUCAGGGAGUACCAUCUCCUCAUGAUGUUUUUUAUUUGCUAAAUGUAUUUAAUAUAUUGGGGUAGAUUUGAUCUCCUGGUAUGUUCUGGAAAAGGACAGUAUGCUAGAGUGGUUCCCCUCAGGGCCUGCGUCCUGGAGCCCUGAUUCAAAUUCCUGUCCCAGCACAUUCCCUUGAGCAAAUUAUUUUGCCUCACCAAGACUUUAUUGCCUCAUCUUAAAAAUCAAGGUAACAGUAUUUCAUUUGGUAACAGAGUUGCAAAGGUGUAUCACGCAUCUUAAUCUUAACAUGUCCAACAUUGUCCCCUUGGUUUUCCACCCCACAGAACUAUUCCUCCUCCAGUUUUUCCAUCUCAAUACAUGACAACCCCUUUCUCCAAAUGGUCAAGGCAGAAACAUUCAGACCAUCCUUGGUUCCUCUCUUGCUUUCUGACCGCACCUGAAUCCCCAGACAAUCCUGUUACUGCGCUCAGUGUCGUCAUCUUCACGUCUAGCACCUCAGUCCAGGGCAAAAUGACCCAUCGUUUAGUUUGGGUAAUAGUGGAUGUUGCAUCCGAAUAUAUCAGAGUUUUAAUACUGAAGGUGUUUGUUUGCAGUCUUGAUCCACGGGCAGCUCUUUGCCCAGGGUCCAGCCUUCUUUCACCUCUUUGGCUCUGCACCUUCGGCCUUGGCAUCCACACUGCAGAAGUAAAAGAGCAUGGGGCGUUGGGGGCCAGGCCUGGAAGUGCCCUACAUCGCUUUACUCACAUUUCAUUAGUCAGCACUCACUU
rnacentral:lncRNA from 1 species